GGAUUGGUAACUCAGGUGGUAGAGUGUUGGUUUGAAGUACCAAAGGUCGUAGGUUCGAACCCUACCCAAUCCA
rnacentral:tRNA from 1 species